GAUGAACGCUAGCGACAGGCUUAACACAUGCAAGUCGAGGGGCAUCGGGGUUGUAGCUUGCUAUAACUGCCGGCGACCGGCGCACGGGUGAGUAACACGUAUGCAACCUGCCCGUUGCAGGGGGAUAAGCGGAAGAAAUUCCGUCUAAUACCGCGUAAUAUGGAUAAGAGGCAUCUCUAAUUCAUUAAAGAUUUAUCGGCAACGGAUGGGCAUGCGGUGCAUUAGCUAGUUGGGGGAGUAACGGCCCACCAAGGCGACGAAGCAUAGGGGUUCUGAGAGGAAGGUCCCCCACACUGGUACUGAGACACGGACCAGACUCCUACGGGAGGCAGCAGUGAGGAAUAUUGGUCAAUGGGCGAGAGCCUGAACCAGCCAAGUCGCGUGAGGGAAGACGGUCCUACGGAUUGUAAACCUCUUUUGUCGGGGAGCAAGAGCUCUACGAGUAGAGUAGUGAGAGUACCCGAAGAAAAAGCAUCGGCUAACUCCGUGCCAGCCGCCGCCGUAAGAC
rnacentral:rRNA from 1 species